rnacentral:rRNA from 1 species
AGAGUUUGAUCAUGGCUCAGGAUGAACGCUAGCGGCAGGCUUAAUACAUGCAAGUCGAGGGGCAGCGCAGUGUAGCAAUACAUGGGCGGCGACCGGCAAACGGGUGCGGAACACGUACACAACCUUCCUUUAAGCGGGGAAUAGCCCGGGGAAACCCGGAUUAAUACCCCAUAGUACGUCGGAGAGGCAUCUCUCUGAUUUUAAAGAUUUAUCACUUAAAGAUGGGUGUGCGGCUGAUUAGGUAGUUGGCGGGGUAAUGGCCCACCAAGCCUACGAUCAGUAACUGGUGUGAGAGCACGACCAGUCACACGGGCACUGAGACACGGGCCCGACUCCUACGGGAGGCAGCAGUAAGGAAUAUUGGUCAAUGGACGAAGGUCUGAACCAGCCAUGCCGCGUGGAGGAUGAAGGUCCUCUGGAUUGUAAACUUCUUUUAUAUGGGACGAAAAAGGGACUUUCUAGUUCAACUGACGGUACCAUAUGAAUAAGCACCGGCUAACUCCGUGCCAGCAGCCGCGGUAAUACGGAGGGUGCAAGCGUUAUCCGGAUUCACUGGGUUUAAAGGGUGCGUAGGUGGGUUGGUAAGUCAGUGGUGAAAUCUCCGAGCUUAACUUGGAAACUGCCAUUGAUACUAUCAGUCUUGAAUACCGUGGAGGUCAGCGGAAUAUGUCAUGUAGCGGUGAAAUGCUUAGAUAUGACAUAGAACACCAAUUGCGAAGGCAGCUGGCUACACGAAUAUUGACACUGAGGCACGAAAGCGUGGGGAUCAAACAGGAUUAGAUACCCUGGUAGUCCACGCCCUAAACUAUGGAUACUCGACAUACGCGAUACACAGUGUGUGUCUGAGCGAAAGCAUUAAGUAUCCCACCUGGGAAGUACGAUCGCAAGAUUGAAACUCAAAGGAAUUGACGG